GAUGAGAGGAUGCUGUAGAUUUCUGCAUUUGAUCUGCUGAAUUUCCACCUGAAUUUUGAUCCCAUGGUUCAGGCUGAAGCUUUCCUUACUUCUGCAGAUACUGCCCCCAACAUCAGCAGACCCACCUGAGCCAUCAGCCAUAACCCAGCGGGGAGAGUGAUCCUGUGCCACCUUGUCAGGCACGUCGUGAAGGUAGAUUUGAUUAUAAUGUAUGUGCUCCUUCCUCUUUGGAGGAAGGCAUCUGGGUUGCAGUACCAGAGCCACGGGAGAAGCUUUGCUCAAGCUAGCAAGCACAGUGCCCAUCUCGAGUCUCUGGAGAACUGCUCAGGAGCAGUUCUAGGUGUGAUCCUGACCACUGGAGAGACACUUAAAUGUAAAGCCGAAGGAAACUCCAGGCUGGGCCCAGUCCUGUAUUUCAGGAGAGGCUUGUUUCUGCUCAAGCACAAAUCUGGUGAGACAAGUUUUUUUCCCAAGGCAGGUUGUUUGCAAACUUUGGAGCCCAAAAGGUGCAGCUGCUCUAAAAAUAACACAGGAUACAAGAACUGGUUUGGGAAGGUUUCACUCUGCCCAAGUCCAGAGGCAUCUCCUGAAAUGCUGCCAUUAGGGGAGAAGUUUGCCUUGUAA
rnacentral:lncRNA from 1 species